rnacentral:tRNA from 1 species
AUUUAUAUAUUUUAAUAAGUAAUAUUGCGUUGAAGUUGCAGUGGUGGUAGAUGUUACCUAUAGAUA